GUUGACAGCCGUACCACCCUGAAUGUACCCGAUCUCCUCUGGUCUCAGAAGCUAAACAGGGUCGAGCCUGGUUAGUACUUGGAUGGGAAAAAGACUAAGAGCCAAAAGAAAGGAAGGAGUGCUUUGCAAUA
rnacentral:rRNA from 1 species